GCCCGGCCGCCGUAUGCCGCACGACGAGGAGGUUGCAGCCGUUCACGCCGGGGCCCUCGUCUCCGUUGGAAGCUUCCCCCCCAGGAAAAUGGCCCUGGGGCGUCGUCGCCCAGCCCGGGGCCCCGGAGUUCCCCCCGAGGGCCGGGGGAGGCGCUGUGUGUGGGGGGCGGCCGGGCCCUUGUCAGGGUCCCCUUUGGAGCACCUUCGAGUGUCCCCCCCGAAUCUCCUGUUCACUGGGAAAAGUAGUGUGGAGACUGAGGAGGGGAGGUGAGAAGAAAUGGCUAAGGUGCUCCAAUAUAUUGCAUGCACUUCGGAGAUACUGAAUCAAGGCAGUUGGAGAUGACGGACUUAUUUCACCUUCAUCCUCCCACCCAGGAAGGAUGCAAGUCCUCUGUGCAAGAAGUCCGGCAGGCUUUCAGAAGUCACUCAGCUCCCUGGACACGGCUGCUGCCAUGAGAUGUCUCGGCCAAGGAUUUUGAGCCAAGAUAUAAGGGAAAUGGUUUAACCAGAUGUGUGCCCAUGCCUGUGACACUGAACUCCGAGAUGCCGAUCUGUAAAAAGCUUGUCAUCUCCCCUGCCUCCCCGCAGCUAGGGAAGACUGAGGCAUGGAAUCCGGUCCAUCUUCUAGCUCCCCAAGUGCAGCAAGAACACUUACGGACUGAUCUUCUACAUCUUCUCUCAAGCACUUGAAUUUCCAGGUGCAUGCAUUUUCAGGGCACAAGCAACCACAGGAAAACUGCUUUUCAAAAGGUACCUCAACGUAAGAAGCCUGACAAUAAUCCCAGAUCCCCAGAUCCUUCCAGGACCAGUCAUUGCAUACACAGACCCACUCCAAUCAAAGUCUUAAAACAAGGCAUUUAUGCUGUAUGUAUUAUUAUACUGAAGUAUUUCACUUCCCCUCCCUGUGACCAGCUAUGUGCAUUGAGAGAAAGUAAAUCCAGACUUCAAAGCAUCUGACAGGAGGCAGGCAGGCGUUGUUUCUCCAUCCAUCCAAGGAAGAAGCUGAAGCACAAAGUGGCAAUGUCUACCAGACAAGGUAAAACCAUUAGCAGAAAUCUAAAUUAACUAAUUCCCAGUCCUUAAAAAUGAACUACAUUGCUCCCAGUACAAGUUAGACGUGCACCAGAGGGCAGAACCACCACUCACCCACGCUUCUCCGAGAACUGCUAGGGAUUAUUUAAGAAUUUAAAUCACAUUCAUUAGAAACUAAACAAAUAUGGAACGCAGUACUCUUCUCCACAAAUGCAAAGGAUGGGGAUUGGAAACCAAUCCAAAUCUUAAAUUCUGCAGUGCUCCAAGUAGAAGCACUCCUUGAAUCAACCUGCAGAAGCACAGGUUUUCAUUCAUGAGGCGAGGAAUGAAAAUCCUGCUUCAUAACCUAGCAAGUGUUUAAAUAAACCUGUUCAGAUGAAGAUCUCUCCUCUCUGGAGGAAAUCUAAUACUACAAGAAAGGUCAUGGAAAUAAUUUCAAAAAUGCCACCUUAAGAGAGCCUUGUUUCAGCUCUUCACCUUAUUCUUUUAACUGAAGAAACAUUGAUUGCCUGAAGCACUCAAAUGGCCAGCAGAAAUUCCUUUUAAACAUAAAUAGGGAGAAAAUAUCCCUGCAUAAUGUUGUUUUAAAAGAACUGUAUGGAUUCCUGUAAGUUUCAAAACAAACAAACAAAAAAUGAUGCUGAGGCAAUCUUUGGAGCAAGCAUUGGUCAAAGAGACUGCAAUAGAAAUACUUAAAAAUGCACUCCUUGGUUAUGAGAUCUCCCAUGGCCUAUGGAGGCGGAUAAUAUUAGAGGCCACUAAAUCCUAAAGUUUAUUUUUCUUAAAGUUUUCACUUCAAAUAAAGCUUUGUUUUAAAAUGUAUGAGGCCAACUGUUAGUGCAUUGAGGUCCUGGUUAUUAGCCAGCUAGAGCCCAUGAAUUAUGUUUAGUGAGAAGUUUAUUGGCUCAGUAAACACCAUUCCAGUUCCCCUCACCCCUGAACUGUGGAAGCCAAACCAAGAGAUAUUCAAUGCCAUGUUACCACUAGCACCAGAGCAACCAUUAUCUGAUUACAGGCAUUUUAUUUUUAUUUUUUGAGAAGAAUUUGCUAUUGCAUCAUUUAAUACAAGGAAGUCUUUAAGUUUACCAAGGCAACUCACAAAGACUAAGUAAUUGUUUGGUCCAGUUUACCAUGUUCUGGAGCAGGAAUAUUUGUUUCCGUCUCACAGCUUUCCAAGUCCAAGCACUGCAGAAAUGCAAUCCCUCAAAUGCUUGGUAAGACAGGAGUCUGGCAAGGAAAUUUAAACUAGCAAGAUUAGAGCAGACAACCACAGGACUUUUCUGAUAAAACCACUCUGUGCAGUAUGGAGUGGUAAGAAGUUGCAUUUGUUUUACCUUACUGGUACUUUGUCUCAAGGAAGACACAUAAAAACUGUCUCCACUCUGUGUUCUGAGGGUAGGUGCCCAGAGGUUGGACUGGGUCUUGGGGAAUGAUGUUGCACUUUGUAAGUUAAAUAGUCAAGAACAACUUACACCAUUAUGACUUAAUCAGAGAGCUGGCUACAGCUCAGUCACAGCUCAGGUAAGAUGCACGUGCAUGCCCAGAACACACCUAGGGCAGAUUCAUGUGGCGUUAGCACUGUCUUGUCUAACACCUGCUUGUGGGAAGCACCAGGAAACAAAACAGAAGGUAAGCAUCGCCAGAACUAGCAAGACUGACAUGUAGCUGUGCAAACCCAAAAGCAACUUCUAUUUGUGUGGCUGCCUUUGUCCUGGGCACAAAGCUGUCUUGUCUGGUUACCUUCCUCUGCCAUGAGUUAAAGACUCACAUACUGAGUGUAAGCAGUGAUCCAUCAGUGUGCAGUAACUUGUUAGUGUGCUUGCUGGUCCAGUUCUCUGGAACAGCUAAAAUAUACCAGAAGACUCUGCAGGGAUUGUGUCAGUUGUUGAGGCAAGGCAAGUUAAUUUAGUUGGAAGAAUAAGGAUGAAAAAAAAAAAAAGAGUGCUAUGAUAACAGUAGUCUAUUCUAGUAGCAAGGUAAACUGGAACUCAAGGUUCUCUCCCUCUCCUAGUCCUCUGUAUCUGUCACACUACCUUGGCUUCAUUUCUUCAUGGCUUUGCUUCCUUUCUCACCUUUUGCUUAUCCUGUCCAUUUAGACUGUGGCAUCUUCAGGGAAGAGACUGUGCUUGUACUGCACCUAGUGAAAGCUUUAGGGCUUUGCAUUCCCUAAAAUAAACAAUGCUUUUAUCUAUAGUCUUUGCUAUAGAGGAGUAUAUGUACCACCAACUCUGAAAUCUCAUAUACUCACGUAAAUGCUUCUUCUGAUACCCUGAGAGUCAUGAUGCCGGAAUCUGUCCAUAUGACAAGGAAAAACCUCGGCAGUAUAGAUCCUUAAUGUCCAAGCUAUCCUACAAGGACAUGUCAAACCUGUAUCAUCACAUCCAUAACGAAGCACCUUUAGGAAGCAGGCACAGUUAAAAACUUUCCACCCCAGUAGUGGUGAAAGACAAGAUACCCUUCUCUUUAAACUUAACCCUCUCCCUUCCAAAGAAUGCCUGGAAUUUCUACUAUUUCCCAGCAGAGACUGGAAGGCAAAGACUUGGCAUGGGGCAAGACAGAUAAGAGCAGUUGCCUUCUCUGUAGGUUUUGUUAACUCCGCAUAAUUGCUUAGGGCAUAUGAUGGUUAGAGAGAAACACAUACACAUCUGUCAGAGACAGACUACAAAUCACUAGUAUAAUUCCAAGCAAACAAAAUCUAGUUUACAAUGUGGCUGUGGUAUAUAAAACACCUCUGUAAAACUACAGUAUAAUUCAACUGCUGCAGGUUUAAUUUACAAAGUAAUGAUAUAGUUUUCCCUCUCAAAGACUGCCAUUUAGGAUCACUAAGAUGUUGAAUGAAGUCUUAGCUGUCUUCUGGGACACAUGGUUAAGGUUGAUUGUUGUUGGAAGCCUCUCUAAGCAAGCCACAUUUAAAUACCAUGUUUUGCAAAAAGGCCCAUAUCAUCUUGCAUGUGAAUUCAAGUCCCUUUACCAGUUUAAAAUCUGGGUCAAGGCAAUUUGCUUACUUUUGGAGUCCUUUUCCAAAACUAAUGGCAUGUGGGAUUUAGAGUUGUAGAUAUAAGACAACCGGAUGAACUGCUAUUAUCUGCUCUGCAUCAUGCACGUACCAUCUACAGUUUUCCUACUAAGUUUUGUUCACAUGUACAACCCACUUCUACAGCAGUUGCACAUUCAGCAUGCUAAUGAUAUUAUUCUUGGCCAUCCUGUUAAACUCCCAGUAUAAGUUAAAUGCACAGUAGGGGGCCCUGCUGGAUUCUCAACAGUUUUUAGAUGGCUACAAAUGAUAGCUGGGCAAGGGUGGAAGUUUUGAUAUGCAGUCAUGAAGCUGAGAGCUUUUCUAUUCAAAUAGGGUGUUGGCUUGUACUAUCUCUGUCACUUCUCUGGUGAUAACUAGAUUACCAAAAUGUACUAUGCUUAGGGCUGCAGUUAGUAGUACGUACAGCUGCCAAAUUGCUUAGCUAAAUUUCAUACAGGGAUCACACGGAACAACUGUGAUUGUUGAUGUCCUGUUGGUUUGGCAUUGCCAUUCAAGGAGAUACUUCUGGAUUAUUAAUACCUUGUACGACUUGGGUGCUGGCUAUUUCAGAGAUUAUGUAUUUCAGUGUAUCCUGACAGGCAGUUGUUAGCAGGAUCCUAACCCCUCAGCAACAUUUUUAAGUCUCUCUGAUCUGGAAGUUUGGGUGGUGCAGUAUCCGUUCAGGAUUCUCACAAAGAGCUAGGACCUUGCCCAAAUUUAUUUUGGUGCUUCUUGAAAGAAGGAAGAGAGAAAGGAAGGAAAAAAGAAUGAAUCCUAAAAACAUAAAAGAAAUUUGUGGCAAGUUAAACUUACUGGCAGAACUGACCUACGAGGUACAAAACAGUGACAAAGAAUGAUAAUAUUUAGUCUUUCUCAUAGUAUUCCUCCAGGCACAUAAUACCAGAUUUUCUUAAUGGAAGCCAGUUAGCAACAAUCAAUGAAAGAGAUUAAGUACAAUAAAAAUAUUGGUUUUAGGAUAAAAAUGUGGUUCCUACCUAUGGGCUUGUAAAGGAAAACUCGGCAUAGUCCUACACUUCUCAUAGGUAAAUUUUGAAUUUUCAUCCCCUUGUUCAUAAGCCAGGCAGAAUAAAAAUAUCCACCUACACUAAACCAAAGGGAGCCACUCGUAACCCAGACACAACCACAACAGACAUUCUCAACAGUCCUUGGCUUAAUAGAACACUGCUUUGUGGUUAUACCCACCACUAGGAUUUCAUCUCACAAGUUCUAACACGUUUAAUUUAUUCCAGGUCAUACAUCAAAUAUAGUAUUAAAAUUUAAGAUGGCAUUUGAGAUUGAAACUUUGCUUUGCAGUGUGAGUAGAAGGAAUACAGUCAGGGCCGUGGGUGCGUGAGUAUAUUAAUACAUAAACACAAACUUGUAGCCAUCACUCAAGAAAAACAGUUGGUCUUUAAGAGGGGAAAAAGUUGUAAAAAGAAUCAAUUCCAUUAAAUAGCUCUAUGAAUCAAUUCCACGAAAAUCAAUGGGCAGCUACAUCCACAAGGUGCCAGGUAGCUCCCACACAUCAGGUGCAACUGUCCGUGACUGCAGCCACGCAGCAGCCCUGCUGCCGGGGGUCCCAACAGCCCAGGUCUGGAGCCAGACCCCCUGCACUGCCCAUGGUCCCCCCAGCGCCCUCCUGCAGCGCUCUCUGCCCCACUCACGCAAGGUGAGCUGCAUGCUGAGGCGGCUGGGGAGGGCAGCAACAUCACUCACAUCCAAGGCCUGUAUAUCUGUCUGAUGGAGCCAAAAGUGUGAGCAGACUCCUGGUGAAAUUCCCCACAGAGGCCAUGCAGACCUUUGUCUCCACACACACACAGGUGGCAGUCCCUCUAAAAAGACAGCAGAGGAAAGCCCACAUUGCUCCAUUAGAGCCAGGCAUCCCACGGGCCCAGGUCUGCAAUGGAGGAGGACCUUGUGUCGCAUCAGGGACUUUUCAGCAGGCUUUGUGUCACAUCAGGUGUCCUGCCCCUCCUGAGGGGAAGCUGCCUUAUGCACAGACAUGGGGAAGGUGUCAGAGGGACAGCCCCAUUUGGGAUGUGGGGCCCAACAGCCACCAACAUGUAGAGUGUAGGAAGUCACAUACUGGCUAAACAAAUUACUUCUUUAAGCACAAGUUCAUGAGUUCCACAUUGCGUCAGUCUCAACUGUUCAGUGACUCCCCAGAGACUGUGCCACACCGCUGUCCUCUCGCUUUCAAAGUGCAGCUUAGUUGCAUUUUCACAUUUACAGGCACCGGGUGCCCCUUCAGUGACUGGAGAAACCCUUGGGGCUUUCAUUUUGUGCUGGCAGCUCGCAGAUGACUCUAGAAACAAAUCCCCAGGGGCUUCCAUUCUGAGUGGCAGAGCAGAGGGCACAGACAAUUCUGGCUUUGUUAAAACCUGCAGAAAAAUUCAUGUCUUGUGUCUUCCCCUUCAUGUGCUCCACAUGUGCUGUCAUGUCUCUGUGCCUGUUAUAGACACACACUAUUUAAGAAAUUCAGACAUAGCAUAUUUGCAACUGGAAAACUUGAUGAGUUGGCCCCUGAUAUUCAGCACUAAGUACCAAAACCUACUUUUUGCUUCUGUAACUGAGCACCAAGCAUAAACGUGUUCAGUUAGUCCACACAGGCACACUCAUGUCUGCUAUUAUACCAAUAUAUUUAAAUGAGAGAAAGAGUGCAUAUGUUAUGUUUGUGUUUAAUAAGUAAUAAUCAAUGUAAUGAGAAGGCUCAAAGCUGUCCCUGACAGGGAAUGAGACCACACUGCUUCUCUCCAAAGCUCUGUGACCCAAGUGCAGGAAUGACUGAUCUGAUCUGCAAAUUGCAUAUCAGCUUUUGGGCCUGAUCUUCGCAAUGAGCACUCUCAACCUACUCAUUUCAAUAGGAUUUGAGAGCACUUGGUAUCAAACCCUCCAUCAGUCACAAGUUCCCCUCAGAUGUAAGGGCAUGUAGACCUGGAAAGCAAGACUGACACAUGCUGGAGGUUUGAGCCUAAAAACAAGUGGGAAUUGUACAACCAGAGGCUUCAAUGUAACUGCUGGUAUCUAGCAAGACAAAGCAGCGAAACAUCAAAGUUCCUCUCUUCUGGAAUAUUCCUUAGAACUUUAUCAUAUGACUCUUCCAGAAGAAUUAAUCAAACAUUGAAAGGUAUACUAAGGGAAGCAGAAAGGCAUCUUCUUCAACAGAACAGCCAGAAGAAGAUUUUCGUGCAAGUCAUAAUAGAUAUUCCUCACUUUCAUCUCCCUAAGAGCAUGAUGCUUUCUUAUUCACUGGGAUCUCAGUUUGAUGCAAGUCAGGAAAAAAAAUAUUUCUGCCCAGCGGUUUUCAAAUAUUCUCGUAGGACUAGUGUUCACAGGGAGUUUUGGAACACAGAUCUCCUUCUAAAGAGAGUCUUCACGCACAAACAGAUGCCACACCAGCAGUUGCGUGGAUGCAGUCUGAGACUAUUUUGGUGACUCUCUGAAGUUCUGGAGUAGUUUAAAGUGAAGGAAUGACUGUUGUGUUUAUGAAGGACAUCCCAGAACAUGGUGCAAAGUCUGUGUGGAAAGAGACAGAGAAAACAGAUAGGAAUGGGCACAUGCCAGAGAAUGAACUGAUUACAGUGAUAGGGCAAAUAUGUAGAAAUGGUUGGACAAAGCAAGUAUGUGCACAGCUGAGAAUUCUGGAGGAAGUAAAGAAUCCAGCAAGUUAGAAAACCAAAGUACAAAUCAAAAUAAGCUGGCUCUAUGGACUCUUAAGUCAAAGCCAGCACUGGGAUCUAAAGCAUCAGCUUGCAUUUAAAGACUAUCAUGGUUAGUCAUACACCAAAUUGCAUAAUAGACAAAUGAUACGAAUUGAAAGAAGAUUAGUCUAGGGGAAUAGACUCAGAGGGAGGAUUGUAAGGAAUUUUAUUAUUGAAAUCCUGCUCCUAAGCUCUUCCAUACUCAAGGAAAAAAAUCUUAAAUCCCAUUUCCUGCCGCUAUAGGGCUAAAAAGUUAACACCAUAUUUCAUAGCAGUUAACAUGAAACAGGAUUACCAUGCUGACUUGUUUUUAAAGAGCAAAUGCAUUCUAAAAACUAGAUUGAGAAGGAGGUAGAUUUCCUUCUGCCAAAUCCUCUGACAAGAAGCAGGAUGGAGAAAACUUAUUCCUCUCUAAGAUUUCUGGGGAUGAACAGAAUUUAAAAGCCCGUUGCCCUCAGUAGAACUGAUAUACUCUCUCAAUUUGGCUUUUUUCCUGUUCAUUCACUGCAGAGACUGACUUCAUAUGAAUAAUAAUUCUUUUAUUUCCUACUCAAAAUAAGUGCUUAUGCUUUUUUUUUUAAAUGAAACCAAAAGAAAUGCUUUGUAUAUCCCCUAAACAGUAAGUUUUUUAAAUAAGCUUUACAAAGAAGAUCCAAUGACCCAUCAGAAGGAAUAACUUUUUAGUGCCAGCCAACAAACUGCUUCCUACCAACAGGAAAGAUUCAAACCCCUACCCAAGCAGACAUCCCAAAGCAGAGAGCGCUGCAGAAGCCAAAAGCCUUCUCUGGCACAGAAGUACUGGAGUCUGUCUGGGACUUAGCUUUCUCAAAGCCUCUUACAUGAGGAGCACCUAGGCAAUGAGCAUGUGCCAUACAUCCCGCUAGACCUGUAAUGUUUUGGCCAAUUUCUCUCAAGCCUCUGAACUGUGAUCUCAAAGCAAAUGAAUAUGAGAAGAAAAUACAUUAAUCAGGCAUUCACACAGCCACGCUAAGGAUUUUUAAACCAGGGAUCUGAAUCAGCUCUAUUGCCUCCCACUUCUUUCCUGAUACAAUUAGCAUCUGCCUCUGCAGCCAACCCUCUGCCGCUCUGAGGGGGAACAAGCAGCUGCAAUUGCCUUGUCUGAUGUCAAAUGCUGUCCCACUGCCCACUUCCCCACAAUGGGCUGCAGGAAAGGGGAAACAGCUUCCAGAAGUGCCUUGUGGAGGUUAGCAUCCCUUCCCUACACACGGGGAAGUGAGAGGAGCUGGGAGCAGCUACCAUUGCAGCCUCUGCCUCCCUGCUGCAGCCCAGGCGCAGGUUCAGACGUGUCCCAGCCACAACUCUCCCCACCUAGGGCCAAGGCCAUGCCAGCUCCACACACCUGUUGGAGGCUUCCCCACAUUUUAAGGGAAUCCCCAGAAGGGGAUUUGCAGGUGCUCCACUCCCUUUAAAGUGUUCAGGCAACAAAUCAGCCUAGGUAAUUGGACCCAUAGUACUCAAUGUGGCCCUCUGACCUUUUCUGAAAUGUCCUCAGCCCACCAGGCUGGCAGGACUGAACGUUAUAGCUAAGUGUUUUGAAAGAAGCAUGUGAUUUUUAAAUCCAGUUGAUUUUUUUUUUUGCUAGAGAACCUUUACCAAAGGCAUCACUAGCGUAUCCACGGGAGUUUUGCAAUUCUAGAUUACAGGUGAUUAAGAAUAUCAGCAAAUAAGCAGGCAUACAAGUCAGGGUCGGAAGCAGGCUUUUACUUAACACCAGCCUCACCAGGCACUUGAAAAAUAAAUAACCCCCCCGAGCAGUUCUGCUUUACCCAACAGCUAUAAGGCUCCAGCCCCACUCCUCGGGCAGAAUUGUGCAAGCUCUUACCCCAGCAGUCACACUGGGUUCAAGCGAAGUGCCUGAGUAAGCAUUUGCAGAAUCUGCCCCCCCCCCGGCAGUUAUCUAUACUGCACCUAUUUGUGCCUUGCAUUGCAAGCUUCUUAGCCAGGGACAUGGUCUGGAAGUAUAUUGUCAGCUGCAACGUGCUUUAUCUCCAUUUAUGGCAUUAAAUCUAAUUUUUGGUGCCAAGUGCAGCAUUACCCUUACAAUGACAUCUAUUAGAGACAGUUUCCCCUGAAGACUGUGAUCUGACCAACAACCAGUUUGCACUGUUCAUUAUUUUGUUUUAUUGCAAAACCACCGUGUUCAUAUUACCUCUCCACUUCUUUAAUUUCAAGCAUUUUCCUAAAAAGUAACCAGACGAGCGCUGUAUUAUAGAAAUCCUGCGCCCCGGCAUUAUACUGACUCCACUUCUUGCUGCCAUCCUUUCGUCCUUGAAGAUUUAAAAGAACUGGGAACCAAAUCCAAAAUUAUAGCAACAAACGUGACCGGUUUGCCUCUGCUAAGCUUACACACAACCAGAGGCUGACUUCCCUCCCCAUGCCAGCGCUGGCAUUCCUGCUGGGCACCCAGCCCCUUCCCCCCGAAAGCAGACAAGGGGGAGGGGGUGGGACAGCAGCGUGGCACAGCACGGAGCGGUUCGUAUGGAAAAAAAUCCCCAACUUCCCCUGAAAUGCUGCAUCCUGCAUGCCACAAAGGACAGCUGCUACCUUCUCACUUACAAAAACGUGACCCCAGCCAGUCAAUGCACAGCCCCAGUGCUGUCAGAUACCCUCCCACGCACCGCUUCUGAUGGUCAAAGCCAUUGUAGGGAAGCAGCCUCCCCUCCACCUCCAAAAGGGCUACGUUUGCCUUGUGCUCCAGCUACACUCAGGGUGGCUGUUUGAGGAGUUUGGUUUGUUUGUUUGUUUGUGGGUUGUGUUCUUUUGUUGUUGUUUCUUCGGGUUUUGGUUGGUUGGGUUUUUCUGUUGUUUUUGUUUGUUGGUUGGUUGCUUUUUGGUGGGGAUGCAACCCAAGCUGCUGCAAACACAGAGGUAGCACGGGUCCAUGUGUAACCAUGGAGGAAGCAAGCACAAAUAGGCAAAUAUUCUGAAUAAUAUCAGAGUAGACGCACAUGGAAAUUUGCUUGGACUCACCUGGACUCCUUUCCCCCUUUCUAGUCCAACCAGUUCAGGGCUGGGGAACAUCCCAAGCCUCUGGCAUAUGGUAUUAGAUACUCUGGGUUUUAGGUUUAAAACUACUGAUAAAUCUCUUGCAAUGGUACAGCUGGUGUCACAUAGCCCUGGUCCCAUUUCAUGUGAACCUCAAAAUUUGGAAGGGAAAGGGAGAUUUUGUUUAUUUAUUACAAAUGAGAGAAACUGGGGUGCUUAAUCAGCCAUUUGCUGCAUCUACUGGGAGUGGAAGCUGGUUUGUCUGGCUAUGGCCGUGCCUUCUGUUCUGCUAAGGGAGAACCCUUGUGCAGCUUUCAGAAAGUCAUAAAAAACAUCUCAAAAAUAUUGGGCAUAGCAUCAUUAUAUGAAGAUACCAGAGGUAGAACUGUAAAGCAUAGUUUACCAAUUAGGAAAGCAUUUUGAGAUCCUAGGGUGGAAAGGAUGUCUUUGCUAGUUAGGUAAAUACUUUAAUUCCAUACUCCAAUGAUCACUCUUCCAGCAAGACCCUUAAA